UUCUGAAUCUUUUCCCAUAAUGCAACAGUCAACAAAGGAAGAGGGAGAGAAACGGGCUGUAGCCAAAGUGGCUAGUGGCUAGCAGCUAGCACAAAAAAGAGGAAGAGAGAAAUGGAGCUGUCAUAAAACUUUAAGGAAUGUUUCUCUCAUCAAACGGGCAAGUACAGCUGAGGAGAAAACAGCCUCGGCUCUUCGCGUGCACGAGAUGAUGACAGACCAUCAGCAAUUUACAGACACAUUCGACCCAGAUCCAUCUUUCUGAAGGAAGAGAGGGGAAUUAAACUCUAUUUAAAGUGAUGACGAAGGCUUUGGCGUUCACAUGAUUGACAUUUCCCAGUCACAUGGCCAGACCCUGCGGUUAGCAUCCUUCGGUCAGCAGAUAAGACCGUCCCAUGCCCUC
rnacentral:lncRNA from 1 species